rnacentral:rRNA from 1 species
UACGGAGGGGACUAGCGUUGUUCGGAAUUACUGGGCGUAAAGCGCACGUAGGCGGAUUUGUAAGUCAGGGGUGAAAUCCCGGGGCUCAACCUCGGAACUGCCUUUGAUACUGCAAAUCUCGAGUCCGGAAGAGGUAAGUGGAAUUCCGAGUGUAGAGGUGAAAUUCGUAGAUAUUCGGAAGAACACCAGUGGCGAAGGCGACUUACUGGACACAUAUUGACGCUGAGGUGCGAAAGCGUGGGGAGCAAACAGG